GACGAACGCUGGCGGCGUGCUUAACACAUGCAAGUCGAACGGAAAGGCCCUGCUUUUGUGGGGUGCUCGAGUGGCGAACGGGUGAGUAACACGUGAGUAACCUGCCCUGGACUUUGGGAUAACUUCAGGAAACUGGGGCUAAUACCGGAUAGGAGCUCCUGCUGCAUGGUGGGGGUGGGAAAGGUUCGGCGGUUGGGGAUGGACUCGCGGCUUAUCAGCUUGUUGGUGGGGUAGUGGCUUACCAAGGCUUUGACGGGUAGCCGGCCUGAGAGGGUGACCGGCCACAUUGGGACUGAGAUACGGCCCAGAAUCCUACGGGAGGCAGCAGUGGGGAAUAUUGCACAAUGGGCGGAAGCCUGAUGCAGCAACGCCGCGUGCGGGAUGACGGCCUUCGGGUUGUAAACCGCUUUCGCCUGUGACGAAGCGUGAGUGACGGUAAUGGGUAAAGAAGCACCGGCUAACUACGUG
rnacentral:rRNA from 1 species